rnacentral:rRNA from 1 species
CAGCACCUCAAGUGGUCAGGAUGAUUAUUGGGCCUAAAGCAUCCGUAGCCGGCGCUGUAAGUUUUCGGUUGAAUCUGUACGCUCAACGUACAGGCUGCCGGGAAUACUGCAGCGCUAGGGAGUGGGAGAGGUAGACGGUACUCGGUAGGAAGGGGUAAAAUCCUUUGAUCUAUUGAUGACCACCUGUGGCGAAGGCGGUCUACCAGAACACGUCCGACGGUGAGGGAUGAAAGCUGGGGGAGCAAACCGGAUUAGAGACCCGAGUAGUCC